CCUACGGGUGGCAGCAGUGGGGAAUAUUGCACAAUGGGGGAAACCCUGAUGCAGCGACGCCGCGUGAGUGAAGAAGUAAUUCGGUAUGUAAAGCUCUAUCAGCAGGGAAGAAAAUGACGGUACCUGAGUAAGAAGCCCCGGCUAACUACGUGCCAGCAGCCGCGGUAAUACGUAGGGGGCAAGCGUUAUCCGGAUUUACUGGGUGUAAAGGGAGCGUAGACGGCAGUGCAAGUCUGGAGUGAAAGGCGGGGGCUCAACCCCCGGACUGCUCUGGAAACUGUACGGCUGGAGUGCAGGAGAGGUAAGUGGAAUUCCUAGUGUAGCGGUGAAAUGCGUAGAUAUUAGGAGGAACACCAGUGGCGAAGGCGGCUUACUGGACUGUGACUGACAUUGAUGCUCGAAAGUGUGGGUAUCAAACAGGAUUAGAUACCCCGGUAGUC
rnacentral:rRNA from 1 species